rnacentral:lncRNA from 1 species
UUUCACUUGCAACAAACCUGUUCAUUUCCAAGUGUGAAGAGAGUGCUACUGAAUUAGUGAGUAACUGUUCAGACAUGAAAAUGGUCAUCAGUGACUAUUCACUACAGGUUUUUACCAUUUUUUUUAUAGUGAGGUCUUUCGGUAAGACAAGCAUUUCUGCUAAAACAAACAGUUCAACUGAAAGUGUUUAGAAAUACAAAUUUUUGCUGUUUAUCUCCAUUGUAAUCAAAAGGGUCUGCUGUUAGUGAGCUUAGUACAAAUACGUAUUAAUAAACACUUCAGAAAACUGAACCACUGAGUAAUUACGAUGCAGUGACAAACAGUAUGAAAUUCAGGGAGAGUGAUGGAGACCAAGAAUAAUGCUCUGUAGUCACAGGCAUGAGUGCUGUGAUGGGAGAUCUAUGAAAGCGUUUACUCGUGAAAUACUUCUGUGAGGUGUCUGUGCUCAGACAUCUCUAAUUGCCAGAUUCAAAGCUUUGUAUUUUAACUGGGCAAUGAUAAACGCACACUGAAUUUUAAAUGCAAUGCUUUUAAAUUUAAUUUUAGUAGCAGAGGCACUCACCAAGAGAUUAACAUCAUCCUGAGCCAGCAGCUGCAAAGCUUUGUAGAUGCUUGCAAAGAUCAGUGGGUACGAGUAGCUCCUUAAGCCAUGUGCCCAUUCCCAAGUGAGGUGGCCAUAAUUAUUAACGUUAAGGAUAGACACGAACAACUACAGUUAAGCUUCAUUCGAGCAGCGCUAUUCUCAGACCUGCCCAGGUGGAGGCAUCUACCUCUGUGCCUAAGAGCUGCGGAGUCCCGAGCGCUCCUGCCGCGCGAAGGCGGUGAGGAGUGGGGAGCGGCGAAGGAUAUUCGAAGACCAUGCGAUGCGCCACCUCCAGCGCCUGCCAGUACUCGUCCGGAACGAAGCUGGUCUGCACAAGGAAGCAGUUGAGCGCCCGCAGCGCCACCGCCAGAGCCAGCAGCCGCGCCGGCCCGCCCGCAGCGCCUGCAAGGGGAAAGGCUGUCAGUCACUGGUCCCGCUGGGGCCACCACUCCCCCGCCCCGCUUACCUGCUCCUGGCUGCCCGGCGGCUGCGGUGGGGUCGCUGUACAGCACAGACCGCCGCUUGCGGAGUCGCACCGCUUCCUUCCGCCGCGCCCGGGCCAGAAGUCCCCCGGCAACCGCCAUCCGCGGGGCGGGGCUGCAACACCGGCGCAUGCACCACCUCUGCGCCGCCGCCACUUCCUUCCGGCCACUCUAGGGAACGGGAGGCCUCUGGUCUGUGGUCUCCCUGACUCCAGCCGCCCGGGCCGGAGCAGCCUCCUGACGGCACUGCGGGGUCGCCGGCGGUCGCUGCGCCGGAGAAGAGGCCCUGAGGGACUCGUGAGAGCCGCGCCGCUGCCCUGGCGCCGGUACCGCCUCCAGCGAAGGCCCGCGCCUCCCGCUGAAGGAAAUGGCGCCCGCGCCCCCCAGCAACUGGGAGUGUUCGUCGCCUGCAGGGGAGCGGCCCUGCUGAGGCGGGCGGUUUCCCUCGGCCCGGCCCUGCUCUGA